UACGAAGGGGGCUAGCGUUGCUCGGAAUCACUGGGCGUAAAGGGUGCGUAGGCGGGUCUUUAAGUCAGGGGUGAAAUCCUGGAGCUCAACUCCAGACUGCCUUUGAUACUGAAGAUCUUGAGUUCGGGAGAGGUGAGUGGAACUGCGAGUGUAGAGGUGAAAUUCGUAGAUAUUCGCAAGAACACCAGUGGCGAAGGCGGCUCACUGGCCCGAUACUGACGCUGAGGC
rnacentral:rRNA from 1 species